rnacentral:rRNA from 1 species
GAUGAACGCUGGCGGCGUGCCUAAUACAUGCAAGUCGAGCGAACGGACGAGAAUCUUGCUUCUCUUAUGUUAGCGGCGGACGGGUGAGUAACACGUGGAUAACCUACCUAUAAGACUGGGAUAACUUCGGGAAACCGUAGCUAAUACCGGAUAAUAUUUUGAACCGCAUGGUUCAAAAGUGAAAGACGGUCUUGCUGUCACUUAUAGAUGGAUCCGCGCUGCAUUAGCUAGUUGGUAAGGUAACGGCUUACCAAGGCAACGAUGCAUAGCCGACCUGAGAGGGUGAUCGGCCACACUGGAACUGGGACACGGUCCAGACUCCUACGGGAGGCAGCGGUAGGGAAUCUUCGGCAAUGGGCGAAAGCCUGACGGAGCAACGCCGCGUGAGUGAUGAAGGUCUUCGGAUCGUAAAACUCUGUUAUUAGGGAAGAACAUAUGUGUAAGUAACUGUGCACAUCUUGACGGUACCUACUCAGAAAGCCACGGCUAACUACGUG